rfam:Oryza meridionalis cultivar OR44 (W2112) chromosome 3, whole genome shotgun sequence.
UUUAAAUGCAACCAUGAGUUUUCAUGCUCAAUUUUAAUUGUUCGUCUUAUUUGAUUUUUUUUAUAAUUAGUAUUUUUAUUGUUAUGAGAUGAUAAAAUAUGAAUAGUAAUUUAUGUAUGGCUUAUGUUUUUAUUUUUUUUUAAAAAAAAUAAAUAAAACGGACAAUCAAAGUUGGGCACAAAAAAUUAUGGCAGCACUUAGA